UACGGAGGGUGCAAACGUUGCUCGGAAUCAUUGGGCGUAAAGCGCACGUAGGCGGCUCGUUAAGUCGGAUGUGAAAGCCCCGGGCUCAACCCGGGAAGUGCAUACGAAACUGGCGAGCUGGAGUAUGGAAGAGGGUCGCGGAAUUCCCGGUGUAGAGGUGAAAUUCGUAGAUAUCGGGAGGAACACCAGUGGCGAAGGCGGCGACCUGGGCCAAUACUGACGCUGAGGUGCGAAAGCGUGGGGAGCAAACAGG
rnacentral:rRNA from 1 species